rnacentral:rRNA from 1 species
AAUCAACGCUGGCGGCGUGCCUCAGACAUGCAAGUCGAACGCGAAAGUCCCCUUCGGGGACGAAGUAGAGUGGCGCACGGGUGAGUAACACGUAGGUAAUCUACCUUCGGAGUGGGGAAGUAACAACCGGAAACGGUUGCUAAUACCGCAUAAUGCAGCGGCACCUAAUGGUGACAGUUGUUAAAGACGGGGGAGUCGAAAGACCCCGCCGUCUGAAGAGGAGCCUGCGGCGGAUUAG